rnacentral:rRNA from 1 species
GCGGCCUAUCAGCUUGUUGGUGAGGUAAUGGCUCACCAAGGCGACGACGGGUAGCCGGCCUGAGAGGGCGACCGGCCACACUGGGACUGAGACACGGCCCAGACUCCUACGGGAGGCAGCAGUGGGGAAUAUUGGGCAAUGGAGGAAACUCUGACCCAGCGACGCCGCGUGCGGGAUGAAGGCCUUCGGGUUGUAAACCGCUUUCAGCAGGGAAUAAGCGCAAGUGAAGGUACCUGCAGAAGAAGCACCGGCUAACUAUGUGCCAGCAGCCGCGGUAAUACAUAGGGUGCAAGCGUUGUCCGGAAUUAUUGGGCGUAAAGAGCUCGUAGGUGGUUCGUCACGUCGGAUGUGAAAAUCUGGGGCUCAACCCCAGACCUGCAUUCGAUACGAGCGAGCUAGAGUUUGGUAGGGGAGACUGGAAUUCCU